AUGUCUUUAGAUGAAAACCAAUAUGACGUACCCAUCAGGACUAAAGACCAUUAAAAAUGAAGCUCUAGGAAUCCCAGGAACAAGAGAAGAAUUUGGAAAAUACAAUUUGAUUGAAAAUCAAUCAAUUUAAACUAAAAUAAUUAACACGUUCACUAUCAAUGUUACAUAUAUGUAUCAUACUAAUUUUUAUUAACAAAUUAGCGUCACCUAUUUGUAAUAAUAGUAAUGAAAUUUUGGGCUAUGAUUGGAAAAAUCAUUGUUUACAAA